rnacentral:rRNA from 1 species
ACGAACGCUAGCGGCGUGCUUAACACAUGCAAGUCGAACGGAAAGGCCCUGCUUGCAGGGUACUCGAGUGGCGAACGGGUGAGUAACACGUGGGUGAUCUGCCCUGCACUUCGGGAUAAGCCUGGGAAACUGGGUCUAAUACCGGAUAGGAGCCAUUUUUAGUGUGAUGGUUGGAAAGUUUUUUCGGUGUAGGAUGAGCUCGCGGCCUAUCAGCUUGUUGGUGGGGUAAUGGCCUACCAAGGCGGCGACGGGUAGCCGGCCUGAGAGGGUGGACGGCCACAUUGGGACUGAGAUACGGCCCAGACUCCUACGGGAGGCAGCAGUGGGGAAUAUUGCACAAUGGGCGCAAGCCUGAUGCAGCGACGCCGCGUGGGGGAUGACGGCCUUCGGGUUGUAAACUCCUUUCGCUAGGGACGAAGCUUUUUGUGACGGUACCUAGAUAAGAAGCACCGGCUAACUACGUG